AUGCAGGUUGGAGCAACUGGGAAACCAUUGACAAAUGUGGUCUCAAUUGGAGUUGGUGGUAGCUUCCUUGGACCUCUGUUUGUGCAUGCAGCUCUCCAGAUUGGUGUGGCUUCAGAUGGUGAUGGAUAUGGGGACACACAAGAACUAGCGAACUUAAUACCAGAUGCCCUCAACUAUGAAUUCUUUAAUUAUUGGAGGCUUUCAUAUUCAUAUCAAUACAAGGUGGGAUAUGAUGCAGGCUUUAGAAUCACUAAGGUUGCUCCUUCUCUGUUCCUUUGGUCAAGGUGUCGUGUUUGUGUUUUUGUUUUUGUGGUGCUGCUUAUAUGUGUGACUACCGUGUGA
rnacentral:rRNA from 1 species